rnacentral:snRNA from 1 species
GUGCUCACUUUGUCAACAAUACAUACCAAAAUAGGAAUGAUGCAGAGAUUAGCAAGGGCCCUGUGUGAUGACAUACAAAUUCUUGAGACAUUACUUUUUUUU